UACCAGCACCCCGAGUGGUCGGGACGUUUAUUGGGCCUAAAGCAUCCGUAGCCGGUUCUGCAAGUCUUCCGUUAAAUCCACCUGCUCAACAGAUGGGCUGCGGAGGAUACUACAGGGUUAGGAGGCGGGAGAGGCAAGCGGUACUCAGUGGGUAGGGGUAAAAUCCACUGAUCCACUGAAGACCACCAGUGGCGAAGGCGGUUUGCCAGAACGCGCUCGACGGUGAGGGAUGAAAGCUGGGGGAGCGAAACCAGGG
rnacentral:rRNA from 1 species